rnacentral:rRNA from 1 species
UACGUAGGGUGCGAGCGUUGUCCGGAAUUAUUGGGCGUAAAGCGCGCGUAGGCGGCCACUUAAGUCGGAUGUGAAAGCCCCUGGCUCAACUGGGGAAGUGCACCCGAAACUGAAUGGCUUGAAUGCAAAAGAGGGUCGCGGAAUUCCCGGUGUAGAGGUGAAAUUCGUAGAUAUCGGGAGGAACACCGGUGGCGAAGGCGGCGACCUGGGUUGACAUUGACGCUGAGGCGCGAAAGCGUGGGGAGCAAACAGG